rnacentral:rRNA from 1 species
AAGGGAGCUUGCUCUUGACGGUACCUGCAGAAAAAGCACCGGCUAACUACGUGCCAGCAGCCGCGGUAAUACGUAGGGUGCAAGCGUUGUCCGGAAUUAUUGGGCGUAAAGAGCUCGUAGGCGGUUUGUCGCGUCUGCUGUGAAAUCUGGGGGCUCAACCCCCAGCCUGCAGUGGGUACGGGCAGACUAGAGUGCGGUAGGGGAGAUUGGAAUUCCUGGUGUAGCGGUGGAAUGCGCAGAUAUCAGGAGGAACACCGAUGGCGAAGGCAGAUCUCUGGGCCGUAACUGACGCUGAGGAGCGAAAGCAUGGGGAGCGAACAGGAUUAGAUACCCUGGUAGUCCAUGCCGUAAACGUUGGGAACUAGAUGUAGGGGCCAUUCCACGGUUUCUGUGUCGCAGCUAACGCAUUAAGUUCCCCGCCUGGGGAGUACGGCCGCAAGGCUAAAACUCAAAGGAAUUGACGGGGGCCCGCACAAGCGGCGGAGCAUGCGGAUUAAUUCGAUGCAACGCGAAGAACCUUACCAAGGCUUGACAUAUACCGGAAACGUCCAGAGAUGGUCGCCCCGCAAGGUCGGUAUACAGGUGGUGCAUGGUUGUCGUCAGCUCGUGUCGUGAGAUGUUGGGUUAAGUCCCGCAACGAGCGCAACCCUCGUUCUAUGUUGCCAGCACGUUAUGGUGGGAACUCAUAGGAGACUGCCGGGGUCAACUCGGAGGAAGGUGGGGAUGACGUCAAAUCAUCAUGCCCCUUAUGUCUUGGGCUUCACGCAUGCUACAAUGGCCGAUACAAAGGGCUGCGAUACCGUAAGGUGGAGCGAAUCCCAAAAAGUCGGUCUCAGUUCGGAUUGAGGUCUGCAACUCGACCUCAUGAAGUCGGAGUCGCUAGUAAUCGCAGAUCAGCAACGCUGCGGUGAAUACGUUCCCGGGCCUUGUACACACCGCCCGUCAAGUCAUGAAAGUCGGUAACACCCGAAGCCGGUGGCCCAAC